AACUAACAAUGGAUAAUUUGAUGGGUGGACGAGUAA
rnacentral:guide_RNA from 1 species